GCGGCUUCGGCUGUCACUUAUGGAUGGACCCGCGUCGCAUUAGCUAGUUGGUGAGGUAACGGCUCACCAAGGCAACGAUGCGUAGCCGACCUGAGAGGGUGAUCGGCCACACUGGGACUGAGACACGGCCCAAACUCCUACGGGAGGCAGCAGUAGGGAAUCUUCCGCAAUGGACGAAAGUCUGACGGAGCAACGCCGCGUGAGUGAUGAAGGCUUUCGGGUCGUAAAACUCUGUUGUUAGGGAAGAACAAGUGCUAGUUGAAUAAGCUGGCACCUUGACGGUACCUAACCAGAAAGCCACGGCUAACUACGUGCCAACAGCCGCGGUAAUACGUAGGUGGCAAGCGUUAUCCGGAAUUAUUGGGCGUAAAGCGCGCGCAGGUGGUUUCUUAAGUCUGAUGUGAAAUCCCACGGCUCAACCGUGGAGGGUCAUUGGAAACUGGGAGACUUGAGUGCAAAAGAGGAAAGUGGAAUUCCAUGUGUAGCGGUGAAAUGCGUAGAGAUAUGGAGGAACACCAUUGGCGAAGGCGACUUUCUGGUCUGUAACUGACACUGAGGCGCGAAAGCGUGGGGAGCAACACGAUUAGAUACCCUGGUAGUCCACGCCGUAAACGAUGAGUGCUAAGUGUUAGAGGGUUUCCGCCCUUUAGUGCUGAAGUUAACGCAUUAAGCACUCCGCCUGGGGAGUACGCCGCGAGGCUGAAACUCAAAGGAAUUGACGGGGGCCCGCACAAACGCUGGAGCAUGUGGUUUAAUUCGAAGCAGCGCGAAGACCUUACCAGGUCGUGACAUCCUCUGAAACCCUAGAGAUAGGGUUCUCCUUCUGUACAAAGUGACAGAUGGUGCAUGGUUGUC
rnacentral:rRNA from 1 species